ncrna:Enterococcus mundtii crl1656 RAGATH-18 RNA
CCUGUGGAGUGUUAGAACAAACGAGAGUAGCGAGCAAUGGGCAAAAUCGGGCACGUAGAAACAGGAA